rnacentral:ncRNA from 1 species
UCCAUUAUUAACGGUUCUGGUUGCUAUUUCUUUCAAGACGGACAAUAAUAGUCCCCGAACUCACGAGAGUAAAUCAUUUUCUU